ensembl:lncRNA
UGUGAUCAGAAAGUUUCCUAAGGACACAGAACACCUCUCUGGGACUUCCAUCAAAUCCUGCAAAUAUGCCUUCCAGCUAGGACACCAUUCCUUUUCUUCCUCUACAGUCAAGAACCUUUUGAGAACUUGGGUGCAUUUUAACAGUGUGUCGGAUCCACCCACUGGAAACUGUGAGUGAAAUAAACCUCUCGGGUAUUUUGUCCCAGUGACAGAAAACUGACUAAAACAUAUGGUGUCUUUUGAAACACAAGUUUUUAAUUGUGAUGAAGUCAAAUCUGUUUUUUUUUCUUGCUCAUUCUUUUAGUGGCAUAAAUAGUAAAUCCAGAUGACUUCUUUUUCUUGCCUAAUUGCCUUGGGUAGAAUUCCAGUACAAUGUUAAGAUGGUGGCAUCUUUGUUUCUAAUUUUAAUGGUGAAGCAUCCAUUCUUUCAUCAUUAAGUAUGUUGUUAGCUGUGGAUUUUUCACAGAUAUCCUUUAGUGAGUUCAGAAAGUUCCCCUCUAUUUCUAGUUUGUUCCGUAUUUUCACUGUGAAGGGGUGUUGCACUUUGUAAAUGCUUUUUUAUGCACCUAUUGAGAUGAUGCACUAUGUGAUUUUGUUUUUAUUCUAGUCAAUGGUAUAUUAUACUGAUUUUCAGAUGCUAAACCAACCUAUAUUCCUGGGAUAAAUGCCACUUUCAUAGUACAUGAUUCUCUUUUAUGUUGUUGUAUUCAAUUUUCCAGUAUUUUAUUUUGGAUAUUUGCACAAAUAUUUAUAAAGUAUACUGGUCUGUAGUUUUCUUGUGAUGGCUUUGGUUUUGGAAUCCAGGAAAUCUUGGACUCCUAGAAUGAGUUGGGAAGUGUUCCAUCCUUUUCUAUUUUAGAGAAAAUGUGUAAAGAAUUAGUGUUAGUUCCUUAAAUAUUUGUUAGUACUCAGUGGUAAACCAUCUGGGCCUGGAAUUUUGCUUGUGGGCAGUUUAUUAUUUUUAAUUACAGGUUCAGUAUCCCUUAUCUUAAUUUUGAUUUCAGAUUUUUUUGAUUUUUUAAUAUCUGCAUGUA